rnacentral:rRNA from 1 species
GUGAGGAAUAUUGGUCAAUGGGCGAGAGCCUGAACCAGCCAAGUAGCGUGAAGGAUGACUGCCCUAUGGGUUGUAAACUUCUUUUAUAAAGGAAUAAAGUCGGGUAUGGAUACCCGUUUGCAUGUACUUUAUGAAUAAGGAUCGGCUAACUCCGUGCCAGCAGCCGCGGUAAUACGGAGGAUCCGAGCGUUAUCCGGAUUUAUUGGGUUUAAAGGGAGCGUAGAUGGAUGUUUAAGUCAGUUGUGAAAGUUUGCGGCUCAACCGUAAAAUUGCAGUUGAUACUGGAUAUCUUGAGUGCAGUUGAGGCAGGCGGAAUUCGUGGUGUAGCGGUGAAAUGCUUAGAUAUCACGAAGAACUCCGAUUGCGAAGGCAGCCUGCUAAGCUGCAACUGACAUUGAGGCUCGAAAGUGUGGGUAUCAAACAGGAUUAGAUACCCUUGUAGUCC